rnacentral:rRNA from 1 species
CCCCUAGAUGUUCUGGGCCGCACGCGCGCUACACUGAACAGUUCAACAAGUCUUAACCUUGGCCGAUAGGUCUGGGUAAUCUUUGAACGCUGUUCGUGAUUGGGAUGGACCUUUGCAAUUAUGGGUCUUCAACGAGGAAUUCCUAGUAAACGCAAGUCAUCAGCUUGCAUUGAUUACGUCCCUGCCCUUUGUACACACCGCCCGUCGCACCUACCGAUUGAAUGGUCCGGUGAAAUCUCGGGACGGCGGCUUGGUCGCUUGCGUCCGACUGCUGAAACUUGAUUAAACCAUAUCAUUUAGAGGAAGGUGAANUCGUAACA